rnacentral:rRNA from 1 species
GACGAACGCUGGCGGCGUGCCUAAUACAUGCAAGUAGAACGCUGAAGAGAGGAGCUUGCUCUUCUUGGAUGAGUUGCGAACGGGUGAGUAACGCGUAGGUAACCUGCCUUGUAGCGGGGGAUAACUAUUGGAAACGAUAGCUAAUACCGCAUAACAAUGGAUGACACAUGUCAUUUAUUUGAAAGGGGCAAUUGCUCCACUACAAGAUGGACCUGCGUUGUAAUAGCUAGUAGGUGAGGUAACGGCUCACCUAGGCGACGAUACAUAGCCGACCUGAGAGGGUGAUCGGCCACACUGGGACUGAGACACGGCCCAGACUCCUACGGGAGGCAGCAGUAGGGAAUCUUCGGCAAUGGGGGCAACCCUGACCGAGCAACGCCGCGUGAGUGAAGAAGGUUUUCGGAUCGUAAAGCUCUGUUGUAAGUCAAGAACGAGUGUGAGAGUGGAAAAUUCACACUGUGACGGUAGCUUACCAGAAAGGGACGGCUAACUACGUGCCAGCAGCCGCGGUAAUACGUAGGUCCCGAGCGUUGUCCGGAUUUAUUGGGCGUAAAGCGAGCGCAGGCGGUUUGAUAAGUCUGAAGUUAAAGGCUGUGGCUCAACCAUAGUUCGCUUUGGAAACUGUCAAACUUGAGUGCAGAAGGGGAGAGUGGAAUUCCAUGUGUAGCGGUGAAAUGCGUAGAUAUAUGGAGGAACACCGGUGGCGAAAGCGGCUCUCUGGUCUGUAACUGACGCUGAGGCUCGAAAGCGUGGGGAGCGAACAGGAUUAGAUACCCUGGUAGUCCACGCCGUAAACGAUGAGUGCUAGGUGUUGGAUCCUUUCCGGGAUUCAGUGCCGCAGCUAACGCAUUAAGCACUCCGCCUGGGGAGUACGACCGCAAGGUUGAAACUCAAAGGAAUUGACGGGGGCCCGCACAAGCGGUGGAGCAUGUGGUUUAAUUCGAAGCAACGCGAAGAACCUUACCAGGUCUUGACAUCCCGAUGCUAUUUCUAGAGAUAGAAAGUUACUUCGGUACAUCGGUGACAGGUGGUGCAUGGUUGUCGUCAGCUCGUGUCGUGAGAUGUUGGGUUAAGUCCCGCAACGAGCGCAACCCCUAUUGUUAGUUGCCAUCAUUCAGUUGGGCACUCUAGCGAGACUGCCGGUAAUAAACCGGAGGAAGGUGGGGAUGACGUCAAAUCAUCAUGCCCCUUAUGACCUGGGCUACACACGUGCUACAAUGGUUGGUACAACGAGUUGCGAGUCGGUGACGGCAAGCUAAUCUCUUAAAGCCAAUCUCAGUUCGGAUUGUAGGCUGCAACUCGCCUACAUGAAGUCGGAAUCGCUAGUAAUCGCGGAUCAGCACGCCGCGGUGAAUACGUUCCCGGGCCU